GAGUUUGAUCCUGGCUCAGAUUGAACGCUGGCGGCAUGCCUUACACAUGCAAGUUCGAACGGCAGCACGGGAGCUUGCUCCUGGUGGCGAGUGGCGAACGGGUGAGUAAUGCAUCGGAACGUAUCCUGGAGUGGGGGAUAACGUAGCGAAAGUUACGCUAAUACCGCAUAUUCUGUGAGCAGGAAAGCGGGGGACCUUCGGGCCUCGCGCUCUUGGAGCGGCCGAUGUCGGAUUAGCUAGUUGGUGAGGUAAAGGCUCACCAAGGCGACGAUCCGUAGCAGGUCUGAGAGGAUGAUCUGCCACACUGGAACUGAGACACGGUCCAGACUCCUACGGGAGGCAGCAGUGGGGAAUUUUGGACAAUGGGGGCAACCCUGGAUCCAGCCAUGCCGCGUGAGUGAAGAAGGCC
rnacentral:rRNA from 1 species